rnacentral:rRNA from 1 species
GGAACUGCAUUUGAAACUGGCAAGCUAGAGUCUUGUAGAGGGGGGUAGAAUUCAGGUGUAGCGGUGAAAUGCGUAGAGAUCUGGAGGAAUACCGGUGGCGAAGGCGGCCCCCUGGACAAAGACUGACGCUCAGGUACGAAAGCGUGGGGAGCAAACAGGAUUAGAUACCCUGGUAGUCCACGCUGUAAACGAUGUCGACUUGGAGGUUGUGCCCUUGAGGCGUGGCUUCCGGAGCUAACGCGUUAAGUCGACCGCCUGGGGAGUACGGCCGCAAGGUUAAAACUCAAAUGAAUUGACGGGGGCCCGCACAAGCGGUGGAGCAUGUGGUUUAAUUCGAUGCAACGCGAAGAACCUUACCUACUCUUGACAUCCAGAGAAUUCGCUAGAGAUAGCUUAGUGCCUUCGGGAACUCUGAGACAGGUGCUGCAUGGCUGUCGUCAGCUCGUGUUGUGAAAUGUUGGGUUAAGUCCCGCAACGAGCGCAACCCUUAUCCUUUGUUGCCAGCACGUAAUGGUGGGAACUCAAAGGAGACUGCCGGUGAUAAACCGGAGGAAGGUGGGGAUGACGUCGAGUCAUCAUGGCCCUUACGAGUAGGGCUACACACGUGCUACAAUGGCGUAUACAAAGAGAAGCGAACUCGCGAGAGCAAGCGGACCUCAUAAAGUACGUCGUAGUCCGGAUUGGAGUCUGCAACUCGACUCCAUGAAGUCGGAAUCGCUAGUAAUCGUAGAUCAGAAUGCUACGGUGAAUACGUUCCCGGGCCUUGUACACACCGCCCGUCACACCAUGGGAGUGGGUUGCAAAAGAAGUAGGUAGCUUAACCUUCGGGAGGGCGCUUACCACUUUGUGAUUCAUGACUGGGGUGAAGUCGUAACAAGGUAACCGUAAUCACUAGUGCGGCCGCCUGCAGGUCGACCAUAUGGGAGAGCUCCCAACGCGUUGGAUGCAUAGCUUGAGUAUUCUA